ACUUUAAAAUUAAAUUUCAAUACUAUAUCCCAAUAUCAAUCACAAAGUUUAAAUUUUUAAAUAUAAAUCUAAACAAUUUAAAUUUUGAAUUCUAAAUCUUAUAUUUUUUUCUCAAAAUAAUUCAUAUUAACGAAAAUUUAUCAUAAAUAUUUUUUUAAUAUUAAAAACAAAAUAGAAUAAGUAAUCAAUGGUGUUAAAAAAAGAAUAGGAAAACAAAUACAUAACAUCUGAUUGGUCAACAGAAAGUAGCCUAUCACAUAGAAGGGUAAGGAUCAUGCUUUGUGUAACCACAACCAUUGAUAAAAAUGAAUCCAACGGACCACAAUGCACUAAGAUAAAAAAAAUACACUUUUUCUUCUCAUCUCUUUCUUUCUUCCUCUCCUCUGACUUCUUCGUAUCCUCUAAUCUAUCUCUCAAUAUGCCUCCUCCGUGAAUCUAAACUGUCUCAACAGCCAACACCAUCACCUCCGACAGAAAUGCAGAUUUAAAACAAGAAGAAGAUAGGAAACAGAUCGGAGGGAGGAGUCUGAAGAAGCUUGACAGCAGAGGAGGUAGAAGAAUCGUGAUGGUGGAGGAAUAAAAAGCCUGACGGCGGAGAAGGCAUGGCCAGCAUAUAAGUUCGUCGCUCAGCCGUAACACCGGUGGCUCUACCACCAGAUUGAGUCUUCGCUUCAGCCAUGGCAUUCGGAGCCGGUGGAGGUGGAGGUGGAGGUGUAAAAACCUGAUGGAGUUGACGAAGUCUCAUGGAGGAGAGGAUGCGGCUGGAUUCUUCUUUUCUGUUUUUAGGUUUAGCUUUUUUUAUUUGGUUUAGUUUAAACCGAGUUGGAAUUGUAGUGGUUUGACUUUAGCUUUUAAUUUCUGGUUUAAUUUUGUAAACCGGAAUUUAUUUGUAAACCAAUCUUAAUUCAUAAAUAAAAUUUAUUUUAUUUUUAA